ensembl:lncRNA HNF1A-AS1 HNF1A antisense RNA 1
ACUCCAGCCUCCUUGCAAGCUUGGGGCGCCUCAUUCUCUCCCGUGCCCCUUCUCCCAGCUGGGUCUGAGCCCCCGCCCCCCUGGCUCCUCCGUUCUGCUUCUCCCAGCUUCUCUGUCCAUCUCCCCCAAUGGCCUCUCUCUACACUCUCUGCCUCAGCUUCCAGGUCUCUGCUGGUCCCUAGGAAGCACUUUGACCUCUGCUUCCCCUUCAAAUGCUGUGGAUCAAGCCUCCCCAACCCCACCAUCCCACCAAAGGGGGCUGCUGACCGAGAGAGCUCACUCAGCCAGAUGGGGGUCUCGCUCUGUUGCCCAGGCUGGAGUGCAGUGGUGCAAUCUUGGCUCACUGCAACCUCCGCCUCCCGGGUUCAAGCAAUUCUCCUGCCUGAGCCUCCCGAGUAUCUGGAACUACAGAGCCAGAUUCUUACUCUGUCACCCAGGCUGGCAUGAUCAUAGCUCACUUCAGCCUAGAACUCCUGGCUUCAAGCAAUCCUCCCACCUCAGCAUCCCAAGUAGCUGGAACUACAGAGAGCCAGCUGUUAAACACUAGCCAACACCCCAUUGAUGCUGUUCCUUCUACCUGAAACACCUCGCAUUGCCGGUGGAGUCUCGCUCUGUGGCCCAGGCAAUCUCGGCUCACUACAACCUCCGCCUCCCAGGUUCAGGCGAUUCUCCUUCCUCAGCCUUCUGAGUAGCUGGAAUUACAGGCACCCGCCACCAUACCCAUCUAAUUUUUGUAUUUUUAGUAGAGACGAGGUUUCACCAUGUUGGCCAGGCUGGUCUCGAACUCCUGGCCUCAAGCAAUCCUCCCGCCUCGGCCUCCCAAAGUGUUGGGAUUACAAGCAUGAGUCACCAUGCCUGGCCUAUGGUAUUUUUUUAUAGCAGCAGGAACAGACUAAGACAUCCUACUUCUCAGCUUAAACGUCACCUCUGCACAGAGCCCUUCGUGAUACAUCUGAACAGAUUCUUUUCUGUGACUCUCCAUCCCUGCACUGUAUUUGCUCUUUCAGGGUGCUUUUUCACAUUUGUGAGGGUGUAUGCAUCUCCUCUUCCAGGCUGUAAGCUUCAUAAAGUCUCUGUUUUGUUCAUAACUAGAACAAGCCCUAGCACCUAGCAGUGAGUGUUCAUUAAACAUAUGAAGAAUGAA